rnacentral:rRNA from 1 species
UCAACCUAACCUAUGGACGGGGAUAACCUCGGGAAACUGAGAAUAAUACCCGAUAGAACAUUAUGCCUGGAACGGUUAAUGUUUCAAAUAAUUUAUUGCCGUAGGAUGGGACUGCGGCCUAUCAGUUUGUUGGUGAGGUAAUGGCCCACCAAGACUAUUACAGGUACGGGCUCUGAGAGGAGUAGCCCGGAGAUGGGUACUGAGACACGGACCCAGGCCCUAUGGGGCGCAGCAGGCGAGAAAACUUUGCAAUGUGCGAAAGCACGACAAGGUUAAUCCGAGUGGUUUCUGCUAAAGGAACCUUUUGCCAGUCCUAGAAACACUGGUGAAUAAGGGGUGGGCAGGUUCUGGUGUCAGCCGCCGCGGUAAAACCAGCACCUCAAGUGGUCAGGAUGAUUAUUGGGCCUAAAGCAUCCGUAGCCUGCUUUGUUAGUUUUCGGUUAAAUCUAUUCGCUCAAC